UAGAUAACCUAGAAGAGAGGGAGAAGAGAGAAGGUUCGAAGAAGAGAGAAGGUUCGAAGGGGAGAGUGGUUCAACGGCGCCAGAUUUCGAAGGGGAACUAUCGACGGCGGCAGCGAUCGACGGUUCGGCAAGACCGGUUCGGCGGCGAGAUUGGUUCGGCGGCGAGAUUGGUUCUUCUCUUCGAUCUGUAAAAAAUCUCAGUUCCUCUCUCAUUUUCUCUCACUUUCUCGCCCCAGCAAAUUCCGACGAACGGUCUCCAGCAAGAAAAGGUGAGACUUGUUGAAAUUCUAGUGAAAGAGUGUCAAAAAAUUGGACUCAUUGUAAUUCCUCUCAUUUUGAAAC